rnacentral:rRNA from 1 species
GGUUAAGCGACUAAGCGUACACGGUGGAUGCCCUGGCAGUCAGAGGCGAUGAAGGACGUGCUAAUCUGCGAUAAGCGUCGGUAAGGUGAUAUGAACCGUUAUAACCGGCGAUUUCCGAAUGGGGAAACCCAGUGUGAUUCGUCACACUAUCAUUAACUGAAUCCAUAGGUUAAUGAGGCGAACCGGGGGAACUGAAACAUCUAAGUACCCCGAGGAAAAGAAAUCAACCGAGAUUCCCCCAGUAGCGGCGAGCGAACGGGGAGCAGCCCAGAGCCUGAAUCAGUGUGUGUGUUAGUGGAAGCGUCUGGAAAGGCGCGCGAUACAGGGUGACAGCCCCGUACACAAAAAUGCACAUACUGUGAGCUCGAUGAGUAGGGCGGGACACGUGGUAUCCUGUCUGAAUAUGGGGGGACCAUCCUCCAAGGCUAAAUACUCCUGACUGACCGAUAGUGAACCAGUACCGUGAGGGAAAGGCGAAAAGAACCCCGGCGAGGGGAGUGAAAAAGAACCUGAAACCGUGUACGUACAAGCAGUGGGAGCCUCUUAAUGGGGUGACUGCGUACCUUUUGUAUAAUGGGUCAGCGACUUAUAUUCUGUAGCAAGGUUAACCGAAUAGGGGAGCCGAAGGGAAACCGAGUCUUAACUGGGCGUUAAGUUGCAGGGUAUAGACCCGAAACCCGGUGAUCUAGCCAUGGGCAGGUUGAAGGUUGGGUAACACUAACUGGAGGACCGAACCGACUAAUGUUGAAAAAUUAGCGGAUGACUUGUGGCUGGGGGUGAAAGGCCAAUCAAACCGGGAGAUAGCUGGUUCUCCCCGAAAGCUAUUUAGGUAGCGCCUCGUGAAUUCAUCUCCGGGGGUAGAGCACUGUUUCGGCAAGGGGGUCAUCCCGACUUACCAACCCGAUGCAAACUGCGAAUACCGGAGAAUGUUAUCACGGGAGACACACGGCGGGUGCUAACGUCCGUCGUGAAGAGGGAAACAACCCAGACCGCCAGCUAAGGUCCCAAAGUCAUGGUUAAGUGGGAAACGAUGUGGGAAGGCCCAGACAGCCAGGAUGUUGGCUUAGAAGCAGCCAUCAUUUAAAGAAAGCGUAAUAGCUCACUGGUCGAGUCGGCCUGCGCGGAAGAUGUAACGGGGCUAAACCAUGCACCGAAGCUGCGGCAGCGACACUAUGUGUUGUUGGGUAGGGGAGCGUUCUGUAAGCCUGUGAAGGUGUACUGUGAGGUAUGCUGGAGGUAUCAGAAGUGCGAAUGCUGACAUAAGUAACGAUAAAGCGGGUGAAAAGCCCGCUCGCCGGAAGACCAAGGGUUCCUGUCCAACGUUAAUCGGGGCAGGGUGAGUCGACCCCUAAGGCGAGGCCGAAAGGCGUAGUCGAUGGGAAACAGGUUAAUAUUCCUGUACUUGGUGUUACUGCGAAGGGGGGACGGAGAAGGCUAUGUUGGCCGGGCGACGGUUGUCCCGGUUUAAGCGUGUAGGCUGGUUUUCCAGGCAAAUCCGGAAAAUCAAGGCUGAGGCGUGAUGACGAGGCACUACGGUGCUGAAGCAACAAAUGCCCUGCUUCCAGGAAAAGCCUCUAAGCAUCAGGUAACAUCAAAUCGUACCCCAAACCGACACAGGUGGUCAGGUAGAGAAUACCAAGGCGCUUGAGAGAACUCGGGUGAAGGAACUAGGCAAAAUGGUGCCGUAACUUCGGGAGAAGGCACGCUGAUAUGUAGGUGAAGCGACUUGCUCGUGGAGCUGAAAUCAGUCGAAGAUACCAGCUGGCUGCAACUGUUUAUUAAAAACACAGCACUGUGCAAACACGAAAGUGGACGUAUACGGUGUGACGCCUGCCCGGUGCCGGAAGGUUAAUUGAUGGGGUUAGCGGUAACGCGAAGCUCUUGAUCGAAGCCCCGGUAAACGGCGGCCGUAACUAUAACGGUCCUAAGGUAGCGAAAUUCCUUGUCGGGUAAGUUCCGACCUGCACGAAUGGCGUAAUGAUGGCCAGGCUGUCUCCACCCGAGACUCAGUGAAAUUGAACUCGCUGUGAAGAUGCAGUGUACCCGCGGCAAGACGGAAAGACCCCGUGAACCUUUACUAUAGCUUGACACUGAACAUUGAGCCUUGAUGUGUAGGAUAGGUGGGAGGCUUUGAAGUGUGGACGCCAGUCUGCAUGGAGCCGGCCUUGAAAUACCACCCUUUAAUGUUUGAUGUUCUAACGUUGGCCCCUGAUCGGGGUUGCGGACAGUGUCUGGUGGGUAGUUUGACUGGGGCGGUCUCCUCCUAAAGAGUAACGGAGGAGCACGAAGGUUGGCUAAUCCUGGUCGGACAUCAGGAGGUUAGUGCAAUGGCAUAAGCCAGCUUGACUGCGAGCGUGACGGCGCGAGCAGGUGCGAAAGCAGGUCAUAGUGAUCCGGUGGUUCUGAAUGGAAGGGCCAUCGCUCAACGGAUAAAAGGUACUCCGGGGAUAACAGGCUGAUACCGCCCAAGAGUUCAUAUCGACGGCGGUGUUUGGCACCUCGAUGUCGGCUCAUCACAUCCUGGGGCUGAAGUAGGUCCCAAGGGUAUGGCUGUUCGCCAUUUAAAGUGGUACGCGAGCUGGGUUUAGAACGUCGUGAGACAGUUCGGUCCCUAUCUGCCGUGGGCGCUGGAGAACUGAGGGGGGCUGCUCCUAGUACGAGAGGACCGGAGUGGACGCAUCACUGGUGUUCGGGUUGUCAUGCCAAUGGCACUGCCCGGUAGCUAAAUGCGGAAGAGAUAAGUGCUGAAAGCAUCUAAGCACGAAACUUGCCCCGAGAUGAGUUCUCCCUGACUCCUUGAGAGUCCUGAAGGAACGUUGAAGACGACGACGUUGAUAGGCCGGGUGUGUAAGCGCAGCGAUGCGUUGAGCUAACCGGUACUAAUGAACCGUGAGGCUUAACCUU